rnacentral:rRNA from 1 species
UACGGAGGAUGCAAGCGUUAUCCGGAUUUAUUGGGUUUAAAGGGUGCGUAGGUGGGCUUAUAAGUCAGCGGUGAAAUCCCCCGGCUCAACCAGGGAAUUGCCGUUGAUACUGUUAGCCUUGAGUACAGUUGAAGUGGGCGGAAUGUAGCAUGUAGCGGUGAAAUGCAUAGAUAUGCUACAGAACACCAAUAGCGAAGGCAGCUCACUAAGUUGUAACUGACACUAAUGCACGAAAGCGUGGGGAUCAAACAGGAUUAGAAACCCCAGUAGUCC